GCCUUCGCCACGCCCGCUACAGAAACUACGAAAGGAAUUGAGGGACCCCCGCACAAGCGGUGGAUCAUGUGUUUAAUUCGAUGAUACGCGAAGAACCUUACCAGGUCUUGACAUCCCCCGCGAUGCUUUAGAGAUAAAGCGGAGGUAUUCGGGGAGACAGGUGGUGCAUGGUUGUCGUCAGCUCGUGUCGUGAGAUGUUGGGUUAAGUCCCGCAACGAGCGCAACCCCUAUUGCUAGUUACCAUCAUUAAGUUGGGGACUCUAGCGAGACUGCCAGUGAUAAACUGGAGGAAGGUGGGGAUGACGUCAAAUCAUCAUGCCCCUUAUGACCUGGGCUACAAACGUGAUACAAUGGCUGGAACAAAGGGAUGCGAAGCAGUGAUGUGGAGCGAAACCCAUAAAAACAGUCUCAGUUCGGAUUGAAGUCUGCAACUCGACUGCGUGAAGUCGGAAUCGCUAGUAAUCGUGAAUCAGAAUGUCACGGUGAGUACGUUCCCGGGCCUU
rnacentral:rRNA from 1 species